rnacentral:misc_RNA from 1 species
GUGCCUAGUGUGGUUAUACCAAACCUAACACUAACUGUUGCGUUUGUUGUAUUGAGUAUGUAAGUCUUUAUUAAAUCUCCAUCAUUUGCGUUCACUGUCACAAAUGGCAGAUAAAAUUCAGCAGGUUCUUGGAAUUCUCCAUCGUCCGAACUGAAGAUAGCUCCAGCAAUAUCUGUACCAUAUAUGUCUUCAGAUCGAAACACUGAUGAUUCAUUAUCAUAGUCGCAGAAGACAAACUUGCCUGCAACAUCUUGGGAAUCUAAUGAGUUCCAAUCACAGAGUUCCUUGCUUCUAUUUCCGUGUCCAAAAU